rnacentral:rRNA from 1 species
UACGUAGGGUGCGAGCGUUGUCCGGAUUUAUUGGGCGUAAAGAGCUCGUAGGCGGUCUGUCACGUCGGCUGUGAAAACCCGGAGCUCAACUCCGGGCCUGCAGUCGAUACGGGCAGACUGGAGUUCGGCAGGGGAGACUGGAAUUCCUGGUGUAGCGGUGAAAUGCGCAGAUAUCAGGAGGAACACCGGUGGCGAAGGCGGGUCUCUGGGCCGAUACUGACGCUGAGGAGCGAAAGCGUGGGGAGCGAACAGG